AAGCACGUAGGUGGGUUUGUAAGUCAGAUGUGAAAGCCUUCUGUUCAAAUGAAGAACGGCAUCUGAAACUGCAGAUCUUGAGUGUAGGAGGGGAGAGUGGAACUUCUGGUGGAGCGGUGAAAUGCGUAGAUAUCAGAAGGAACGUCGGCGGCGAAAGCGACUCUCUGGCCUAUUACUGACACUGAGUGUGCGAAAGUUGGGGGAGCAAACGGGAUUAGAUACCCCGGUAGUCCUAACUGUAAACGAUGGGCACUAAGUAGAGGGGUUUU
rnacentral:rRNA from 1 species